rnacentral:ncRNA from 1 species
GUUCUUUGAGGUGGACAAUUUCGUGGCAUCCACACGCCGAUGGUAUUGACAGGGGAAACCCGAGAGAUGCAGGAGCACGCCACGCCUGCCAAAGAAC